AAGCGCAUAGUUCAAACAGGAAGAACAACGGCCUGCAAAGCCGUAAGUUGCCGGUUCGAGUCCGGCUGCGUUUU
rnacentral:tRNA from 1 species